GGAGACUCCAGUGGAAGAGGCAACUUUGGAUACAGAAUCCAACCGUGGAGCAAGUCAGCAAGUUCUUAAGAGAGAACACUUCAUUUGGGAUACAGUCUGAAGUCCUGAUCCUCUGCAAUUGUGGAAGGUGAACUGUAAAAAAAAAAAAAAAGGUGCAGAGAUGAUUUGGGAGGAGUGUCUCUCUUUAAAAGGAUGUUGUAAGUCCUCUAUUUAUAUCACUUGAAGAAAGUGAAUGAAAGGAGUGAGAA
rnacentral:lncRNA from 1 species